rnacentral:rRNA from 1 species
GACGAACGCUGGCGGCGUGCUUAACACAUGCAAGUCGAACGCGCCUGUCCUCUGGGUUUCUGGGGGGUGGGUGAGUGGCGAACGGGUGAGUCACACGUGAGUAACCUGCCCCCUUCUUCGGGAUAACGGUCUGAAAGGGCUGCUAAUACCGGGUAUUCACUGGUCUCCGCAUGGGGUCUGGUGGAAAGGUUUUUUUCUGGUGGGGGAUGGGCUCGCGGCCUAUCAGCUUGUUGGUGGGGUGAUGGCCCACCAAGGCUUUGACGGGUAGCCGGCCUGAGAGGGUGACCGGGAACAUUGGGACUGAGAUACGGCCCAGACUCCUACGGGAGGCAGCAGUGGGGAAUAUUGCACAAUGGGCGCAAGCCUGAUGCAGCGACGCCGCGUGAGGGAUGGAGGCCUUCGGGUUGUGAACCUCUGUCGCCCGUGGUCAAGCCGCGACGUGGGUCGUGGUGAGGGUAGUGGGUAAAGAAGCGCCGGCUAACUACGUG